ACAUGAGUCCUAGAAAGCUAGUAGGACCAGGGUUACCCAGCUGCAGGUGGCUGACUCAGUGGACUAAUAAGCACUUGUGACCCAGGACUUGCCUUAAGUGCUGGAAAUUCUGCUCAUCUCAGUCUGGAUCCUCCCAUUUUCUAUCCCUGACCUAUCAGAGAGGAAGAUUCUGGAACCCAGGGGAUGGCUAGGGCUAUAGAAGAGCGGCUCACCAGGCAAGAAUGUCCUCCACUCCACCAGAUCCUCUGGUCCAGCAAGAGCAGCAGGAGUCAGGAAUCCUCUUCACAGGAAUUCUCUUCAUACAAGGCCAAGGAGGCAGGUCUGGUUGUCCCUCUUGCUAAUGGGCUGCAUUUUGGGACCAUUACUCAGAGACUCACAGAGGACCAAGGUCCCACUCCCCAGGGUUUAAAAUGUAAUGCAGACAGUGACGUGGACCACUAUCAUCAGGAGCCAGGGUGAGCAGGAGGCCCAGCAGGGGAGCAGUGUCUGUCAUCAGAAGGAGG